CCCUUAGAUGUUCUGGGCCGCACGCGCGCUACACUGAUGCAUUCAACGAGCCUAUCCUUGACCGACAGGUCCGGGUAAUCUUUGAAUCUGCAUCGUGACGGGGAUAGAUUAUUGCAAUUAUUAAUCUUCAACGAGGAAUACCUAGUAGGCGCGUGUCAUCAGCGCGCGCCGACUACGUCCCUGCCCUUUGUACACACCGCCCGUCGCUACUACCGAUUGGAUCGGUUAGUGAGAUCACCGGAUUGGUCAGAGGCGUUUCCCACCGGUUCGGCCGCGGGCGCCACGGUAUCAAGAAGACGAUCGAAUUUGACGAUCUAGAGGUCGUAAAAGUCGUAACA
rnacentral:rRNA from 1 species